rnacentral:rRNA from 1 species
AUUGAACGCUGGCGGCAGGCUUAACACAUGCAAGUCGAGCGGGGUGAUGGUGCUUGCACUAUCACUUAGCGGCGGACGGGUGAGUAAUGCUUAGGAAUCUGCCUAUUAGUGGGGGACAACAUCUCGAAAGGGAUGCUAAUACCGCAUACGUCCUACGGGAGAAAGCAGGGGAUCACUUGUGACCUUGCGCUAAUAGAUGAGCCUAAGUCGGAUUAGCUAGUUGGUGGGGUAAAGGCCUACCAAGGCGACGAUCUGUAGCGGGUCUGAGAGGAUGAUCCGCCACAAUGGGACUGAGACACGGCCCAGACUCCUGCGGGAGGCAGCAGUGGGGAAUAUUGGACAAUGGGGGGAACCCUGAUCCAGCCAUGCCGGGUGUGUGAAGAAGGCCUUAUGGUUGUAAAGAACUUUAAGCGAGGAGGAGGCUCUUUUGGUUAAUACCCAAGAUGAGUGGACGUUACUCGCAGAAUAAGCACCGGCUAACUCUGUGCCAGCCGCCGCCGUAA